rnacentral:rRNA from 1 species
UCCGUAGGUGAACCUGCGGAGGGAUCAUUACCGAGUUUACAACUCCCAAACCCCUGUGAACAUACCUAUUUGUUGCCUCGGCGGUGCCUGUUCCGACAGCCCGCCAGAGGACCCCAAACCCUGAUUACAUUUAAGAAGUCUUCUGAGUAAACCGAUUAAAUAAAUCAAAACUUUCAACAACGGAUCUCUUGGUUCUGGCAUCGAUGAAGAACGCAGCGAAAUGCGAUAAGUAAUGUGAAUUGCAGAAUUCAGUGAAUCAUCGAAUCUUUGAACGCACAUUGCGCCCGCUAGUAUUCUGGCGGGCAUGCCUGUCCGAGCGUCAUUUCAACCCUCAAGCCCCCGGGCUUGGUGUUGGGGAUCGGCGAGCCUCCGCGCCCGCCGUCCCCUAAAUCUAGUGGCGGUCUCGCUGUAGCUUCCUCUGCGUAGUAGCACACCUCGCACUGGGAAACAGCGCGGCCACGCCGUUAAACCCCCAACUUCUGAACGUUGACCUCGGAUCAGGUAGGA